rnacentral:rRNA from 1 species
UACGUAGGGUGCAAGCGUUAAUCGGAAUUACUGGGCGUAAAGCGUGCGCAGGCGGCUUUGCAAGACAGAUGUGAAAUCCCCGGGCUUAACCUGGGAACUGCAUUUGUGACUGCAUGGCUAGAGUGCGGCAGAGGGGGAUGGAACUCCGCGUGUAGCAGUGAAAUGCGUAGAUAUGCGGAAGAACACCGAUGGCGAAGGCAGUCCCCUGGGCCUGCACUGACGCUCAUGCACGAAAGCGUGGGGAGCAAACAGG